CUGCGCCUGAGCCCCAAGACCCCGCACCUGGGCGCGCGCUCUGGCGCAGUGCCUGGUGCGAUGUCCGCGUCAGCCUCUCUCCUCCGGGAGAGGCAGGGAGUGUGACGCCCAUUUUACCAGCGGGCAAACUGUGGCUUAGGGAUGCUGGGUGAUUUGCCCGAGGACGCACACAGAGGGAAGGGCCAAGCCGGGAUUCCAACUCGGGACUCCCCGCUUCUGGGGAGACCGGUGAGGCCCCCGCGACAUGGCCCUCCCAUCCCCAAGCCUCUCGUGCAGAUCUCCGCUCUGUGGGACUUGAUUGCGGGCUGCGGGCCCGUGGCUCCUGCAGGCAGAGAGAGGACGGGAGAGGAGACGGCUACGAGGCUUGGCCGCAGAGAAUGAGAAGGCAGAUCAAAGUUACAGAUGCUGCGAGAACAUCGCCAAGCAGAAUCUUGGGUGCUGUCCCCACCUCUCUGUACCUGCUCCCUCCCAGAGAAGCCAGCCUCCACUUGCUGUCCCGGGCCUUCUCUAUCUGAGAAAAGUUGAAGGAGCACAUGUCCUUGCGCAGGAAGAGGCUGUUCAGCGUGACCGCCCCGAUCAAGAAGAAGAGCUGCUUCACCGCCUGCCUCACAAGCUCGGGGUCCAGGCCGUUCUGGCACAUGGUGGUGUAAAAGUAGCUCAGCUGUUGCAGGACGGAGGUCAUGGUGUAGCCGUCCGUGUCGUCUAUGCUAGAGGAGCGCUUCCGGAAGCCUGUGGGCUUCAGGCCGGAAAUGCCCUGCAGGCUCUCAUACUCCAGCAUUCCCGGAACUGCGGAGAGACAGGGAGGCUGUGCUGACACGCCAGGAGACACACGCGGAACGUUCCCGACGCUCUUCGGUUUGUUUCAGGAGAUGGGACAUUUUUCUACAAGAGUCAGUGGAUGUACUUAUGAUAGAGAAAGCAAAAGAAUCAAGGGUUUGGGACACCAGGGUGUGUGUCAGGGUUAGGGAUGGACGGCUGUUUCCAGCGGGGCUGCAGCUCCUCUUGUAGGUUUGAAGCAGCACGUUUUUCAGCUUCACAGGAAAGAAAGCUGCUUAGCAUGACAAAUCAUGGCCUGGGCAUUAAAGCCUAAAGUAUUUAAAUUUCAGGAAAUUAAGGAAAGUAUACAAGAAUUCGAAUGGGGCUUUAGGAUUUCAAAAAUACUUGGCUACGCCAAGAAGUAGAAGUACCACAUAAAUAGCAGUAGUAGAAGUUUCCCCAAGUUUUUUCCUUCAGGAUAAAUCAUCCUUAUAUAAAGAAAACUACCAACAGCGUACUAUUAUUUAUGGAAUCAUUAUAAGCAAGCAAAGAAUUAAAAGGCAGAUAUCUACAUGAUUAUAUUUCCUUGGCUUUUUAAACAAUGUUACACAUAAUCACACAUUACACAUACCAAGUUUAUGUUUUAAAAAGUCUUAAUGUUACUAUAAAUAUUUUUUGGUCAUCCAUUCUCUUCUUACCUAUUAUCGGUUGGAUAUUCUUUUCCAUUAUGAUAAUAAAUUGAUGAUAUAUUCGUAUAGCCACAUCACUGAGAAUCUGUCUGUAUUCUGAAAGGUCAAAAUUGUUCAAGCAAUUCUUAUUCUGCUGUGGACUAUUAUGCUUCAUGAAUUCCUAAAAGUAAUUUUAAACAUAAAAUAUUAGAAUAAUACAAACAUGUAGGAAAUUAAUAAUCAGCUACUAUAACUCUUUUACCUUAAAACUUAAUGUCUGAUUUAUAUCAAAUGAGUUCAUGAUGCUUGGGGUAGCAUGUACCUUCUAUAAGAAAAAAAUUGCACUGAUUUCCUGUAUGAUCACAGUCUAUCACACUGUCAUUGUCCCACCCACUUCCCUACAAACAUUGUCCCUGGAACCUAUAGACUAAAUGGAAAAGCUCGUAGAAGGCCCAUGGAAGCGCAUAGGAAAAUGAAACAAAACUGCAGAGCAUUCAAGGAAACAAACUGCUAUGAAGAGGUAAGUGGAUACAAUAAAUGAGAUUCAUAACCUUAUAAUUUACAGGGUACAAAGUUGAAAUAUUUUAAAGUGUGUGUUAUGGAUUUUAUGUGUCUUCCUAAAAAUCAUACAUUGAAGCCCUAACCCCCUAGUGUGGCUGUAUUUGGAGAUGGGGCCUUUAGGGAGGUAAUGAGGUUAAAUGAGGUCAUGAGGAUAGGGCCGUGAUCUAAUAAUAAGAUUGAUGUCCUUAUAAGAAGAGACACCAGAGAGAGCUUGCCCUCUCUCUCCCUCUUCCUGACCCAUGCACCCAGGAAAGGUCCUGUGAGGACACAGGGAUGGAGAAAGUGGCUGUCAGCAAGCCAGGAAGAGAGCCCUCACCAGGAAGUGACCAUGCUGGCACCCUGAUCUCAGAUGUUUAGCCUCCAGAACUGUGAGGAAACAAAUCUCUUGUUUAAGCCACCCAGCCUGCGGUAUUUUGUUAUAGUAGCCUGAGUGAACUAAUGGAAUAUGUUUAACAUGUUCAAAGAGACUAAAGAAAAAGAAAAAAUUAAGAAUAGAACAUUAUAGGGCUGGGCGUGGUGGCUUACGCCUGUAAUCCAGCACUUUGCGAGGCCGAGGCAGGCGGAUCACU
ensembl:lncRNA CERNA1 competing endogenous lncRNA 1 for miR-4707-5p and miR-4767